rnacentral:tRNA from 1 species
AAUCAGGGUGCCCUUCUUCCGAAAAAUGUAUAGGGCAACUGCCUUCUAAGCAGUAGGUCAUUGGUUCGAAUCCAAUCCGGA